UACGUAGGGUGCGAGCGUUGUCCGGAAUUAUUGGGCGUAAAGAGCUCGUAGGCGGUGUGUCACGUCGGCCGUGAAAACCUGCAGCUUAACUGUGGGCGUGCGGUCGAUACGGGCAUCACUGGAGUUCGGCAGGGGAGACUGGAAUUCCUGGUGUAGCGGUGAAAUGCGCAGAUAUCAGGAGGAACACCGGUGGCGAAGGCGGGUCUCUGGGCCACUACUGACGCUGAGAAGCGAAAGCAUGGGGGAGCGAACAGG
rnacentral:rRNA from 1 species